GGUUAAGCGAACAAGCGUACACGGUGGAUGCCCUGGCAGUCAGAGGCGAUGAAGGACGUGCUAAUCUGCGAAAAGCGCCGGUAAGGUGAUAUGAACCGUUAUAACCGGCGAUGUCCGAAUGGGGAAACCCGGUGCACUUCGGUGCAUCAUCGUUAGCUGAAUACAUAGGCUAACGAGGCGAACCGGGGGAACUGAAACAUCUAAGUACCCCGAGGAAAAGAAAUCAACCGAGAUUCCCCCAGUAGCGGCGAGCGAACGGGGAACAGCCCAGAGCCUGAAUCAGCUUGUGUGUCAGUGGAACGGUCUGGAAAGGCCGGCGAUACAGGGUGACAGCCCCGUACACGAAGGCACACAGGCUGUGAGCUCGAUGAGUAGGGCGGGACACGUGAUAUCCUGUCUGAAGAUGGGGGGACCAUCCUCCAAGGCUAAAUACUCCUGACUGACCGAUAGUGAACCAGUACCGUGAGGGAAAGGCGAAAAGAACCCCGGCGAGGGGAGUGAAACAGAACCUGAAACCGUGUACGUACAAGCAGUGGGAGCCUUCGUAAGAGGGUGACUGCGUACCUUUUGUAUAAUGGGUCAGCGACUUAUAUUCUGUAGCAAGGUUAACCGUAUAGGGGAGCCGAAGGGAAACCGAGUCUUAACCGGGCGUUAAGUUGCAGGGUAUAGACCCGAAACCCGGUGAUCUAGCCAUGGGCAGGUUGAAGGUUGGGUAACACUAACUGGAGGACCGAACCGACUAAUGUUGAAAAAUUAGCGGAUGACCUGUGGCUGGGGGUGAAAGGCCAAUCAAACCGGGAGAUAGCUGGUUCUCCCCGAAAGCUAUUUAGGUAGCGCCUCGUGAACUCAUCUCCGGGGGUAGAGCACUGUUUCGGCUAGGGGGCCAUCCCGGCUUACCAACCCGAUGCAAACUGCGAAUACCGGAGAAUGUUAUCACGGGAGACACACGGCGGGUGCUAACGUCCGUCGUGAAGAGGGAAACAACCCAGACCGCCAGCUAAGGUCCCAAAGUCAUGGUUAAGUGGGAAACGAUGUGGGAAGGCCCAGACAGCCAGGAUGUUGGCUUAGAAGCAGCCAUCAUUUAAAGAAAGCGUAAUAGCUCACUGGUCGAGUCGGCCUGCGCGGAAGAUGUAACGGGGCUAAACCAUGCACCGAAGCUGCGGCAGCGACACUAUGUGUUGUUGGGUAGGGGAGCGUUCUGUAAGCCUGUGAAGGUGUGCUGUGAGGCAUGCUGGAGGUAUCAGAAGUGCGAAUGCUGACAUAAGUAACGAUAAAGCGGGUGAAAAGCCCGCUCGCCGGAAGACCAAGGGUUCCUGUCCAACGUUAAUCGGGGCAGGGUGAGUCGACCCCUAAGGCGAGGC
rnacentral:rRNA from 1 species